GCCCGGUUUGUGUAAUGGCUAGCAUAGGAGCCUGUGGAGCUCUUGGUCGGAGUUCGAAUCUCCGGCUGGGCC
rnacentral:tRNA from 1 species